rnacentral:rRNA from 1 species
AGCACCACAACAGGUGGAGCCUGCGGUUUAAUCGGACUCAACGCCGGGAAACUCACCAGAUAAGACAGCUGAAUGAUAGUCGGGCUGAAGACUCUACUUGACUAGCUGAGAGGAGGUGCAUGGCCGUCGUCAGUUCGUACUGUGAAGCAUCCUGUUAAGUCAGGCAACGAGCGAGACCCACGCCAACAGUUGCCAGCUCGUCCUCCGGGAUGGUGGGGACACUGUUGGGACCGCCUCUGCUAAAGAGGAGGAAGGAAUGGGCAACGGUAGGUCAGCAUGCCCCGAAUUAUCUGGGCUACACGCGGGCUACAAUGGGUGGGACAAUGGGUAUCGACACCGAAAGGUGAAGGCAAUCUCCUAAACCCAUCUGUAGUUCGGAUUGUGGGCUGCAACUCGCCCACAUGAAGCUGGAAUCUGUAGUAAUCGUGUCUCAAAAUGGCACGGUGAAUAUGUCCCUGCUCCUU